UUUUUACGGGUAGGAAAAAGGAAAAAGAUCGACAUUUCCAUGGUGGACAACGGGGAGCUGCCGGAACAUCUCCGUUGCCGGAGAAACGACGGUCGAGGAUGGAGGUGUUUGAUGCAAGUCAUGGAGAACAGGAGUGUCUGCGAUUUUCACUUCUACCAGGCUCGUUUGCGUCAGUCCAAGAAGAAGGUUCCACCUUCUAUGAAGCUCAAGAGGAAUACCCUCCGUGAGAAAGCCGCCGAAGCUUCUUCGUUGGCGGUGUCCGUAAGGAAAGAUUUUGAUUUUCAGAAUCUUGGAAUUCCGGUGAAAGGUCAGUCGAAUUUGGCGAAAGUGUUGAAGAGGAAGCGUGCAGUUCGGGUGGCGGACUCUCUGGUGAAGAUUUUGAAGAAGAUGAAGUCGAAAAAGGGUGACUUGCAGUUGGAAUUGAUAAGGAUGUUUCUGCGGAGGCAAAUGGAGAGGAAGAAGAAGCGAAGUUCCGAGGGGAGUAACAACGGGGAAGAAUUAAUGAGGGACUUGCCCAAUGGGCUGAUGGCCAUUUCCCCUACUCCUGUCAGGGAUUUUGGCAAUGCCGUCUCGUCUUUCGAUGGAAAACUAGGGCUUGAUUCGUAUGCUUCUUUUACCCGACGCUGCUUCCGGUCCAAAAAUAUUGAACCUCUUCCCGUUGGCCCAUUGCAGAUUCUUCCUUGCGGGAAAAGCAUAUCCAAUUCCAGGAGGGGUGGGAAGAAGAAUUGCCAUCAGUGCCGAACAAGUAAUGCUGAGAACCUUGUUCAUUGUUUGAGUUGCCGAAGAGAGUCUUUCUGCACAGAUUGCAUUCGUGAAAGGUAUUCUGAACUGCCACUCGAAGAAGUUAAGAUGGCUUGCCCAGUUUGUCGUUGCUCCUGCAACUGUGAGAUGUGCUUGAGUAAUCAGCCAAAAGGGAUUGCAUUGAAGGGUUUUGUUGAAGCUGAAGAUAAGGUUACCAAAAUCCUACAUUUCCAUUAUUUGGUUUGUCUGCUUCUUCCAGUUCUGAAACAAAUCAACCAGGAACAGAGGAUUGAGUUGGAAACAGAGGCAAAACUUGAAGGAAAAACACGAGCCGAAAUUAAGAUUCUGCAGGCAAAAUGUGGUAAUGACGAGCAGCUUUACUGUGAUAACUGCCAAUCUUCCAUUGUGGAUUUCCAUAGAAGCUGCUCAAUUUGUUCCUAUGACCUCUGCCUUAGUUGUUGUCGAGAGAUACGUCAAGGCACCUUACCUGGAAUGAGGCAGAGAAGCUCUGUUCAGAAAAACUCUGGUAGUGCAUUAUUAGCUUCUUCUGCAACACUUCCAGACUGGAAAUAUAGUGGUGAUGGCAGUAUUUCUUGCCCACCCAAGGAGCUUGGUGGUUGUGGUGAAAGUCUCCUGGACUUGAGAAGUGUUUUCCCAUUAAAUUGGACUGAAGAACUGGAAAUAAAUGCUGAAGAAAUAGCAUGCAGUUAUGACUUUCCAGAAACUAUAGAUGUUUCACCACACUGUUCCUUAUGUAGUCUCAUGCAUGAUAAAGCUGGGGGACUUGAUGGGAAAUUGCAAGAAGCAGCUGCCAGAGUAGAUUCUGAUGAUAACUUCUUGUACUGUUCAACUAUGGAGGAUCUUCAGCAUGAAAACCUGGAACAUUUCCAAAAGCAUUUAAGUAAAGGUCAGCCUGUAAUAGUUCGUAAUGUGCUCCAGAAUUCGUCAAACUUGAGCUGGGAUCCUGUGGUCAUGUUCCACACUUUUCUUGAAAGGAACAGUGCUAAGCCUGGGAAUGAUGUCAAGACUGUGAAAGCCACUGAUUGCUUGGAUUGGUGUGAGGUAGAAAUUGGGAUCCAGCAAUUUUUUAACGGUUAUAUAGAGGGCCGAACACAUGCCAAUCUGUGGCCUGAGAUGCUGAAAUUGAAGGAUUGGCCUUCUCCUGAUUUGUUUCAGGAACAGCUUCCUGCGCAUAAUGCUGAAUUCAUCUGUGCUUUACCGUUUCAAGAAUAUACAAAUCCUAACUCUGGUAUUCUGAAUCUUGCUGUCAAGUUGCCCAAGGAAUUCUCAAAGCCUGACCUGGGUCCCCGUGUAUAUAUUUCAUACGGGAUAGCCGAGGAGCUUGGGCGGGGUGAUUCUGUAACUAAACUUUAUUUUAAUUCAUCUGAUAUGGUGAAUGUUCUGGUGCACACAACAGAAGUAACAAUUCCUCCAUUACAGGUAACUGAGAUACAGAAAUUAAAGAAAAAGCACAAGGCUCAAGAUAAGAAUAAGUCUCUCAGGAGUUCUAUGGACCUGAAUAUAGUAAAUGUUGUGAAAUGGAGGCCAUCUUUGUCUUGUGAAAGCACAGAAGAAGCAGGAUGUAGUGAGAUGCUGGACGUUAAUGGAGAUACAUAUUUACCCAAUGGAGAAGCUGGAGUCUCAUAUUUACAUUCUGUCACAAGUACACCUGAAGAAUGUGAUUGUAGUGUCAAAGAUGAGAAGACAUCGGAUGCCGAAGAGUCCAACUCUGAUUCUGAUGCCCCAACUGAUUGUUAUAGAAAUACUCUGAUCUCUGAAAAAUCUGAAGAUGAAGAGAUUUCUUGUCUGGAAGAAAAGAGAGAACAUAUAUCGAAACUAGUGUCUGAUUCCUGCGGUGCCCAAUGGGAUGUCUUCCGUAGGGAAGAUGUUCCAAAGCUACAAGAAUACCUAAGAAGGCACUUCAGUGAGUUCAGGCACACAUAUUGCUUUCCAGUUGAACAGGUUGCUCAUCCAAUUCUUGAUCAGAGCUUCUUUCUUGAUACAACCCAUAAAAGAAGGCUUAAGGAGGAGUUCGAAGUCGAACCUUGGACUUUUGAUCAGCAUCUUGGAGAAGCCAUCUUCAUUCCUGCGGGAUGCCCAUAUCAAAUUAGGAAUAUUAAGUCUUGCAUAAAUGUGGCUUUGGACUUUGUGUCACCUGAGAAUGUCCAAGAGUGUAUUCAGUUGAUUGAUGAACUCCGUGUACUUCCAAAGAAUCACAAAGCUAAAGAAGACAAGCUAGAGGUGAAGAAAAUGAGUGUCUAUGGUAUUAGUGCUGCAGUUAAAGAAAUCCGUGAGCUGACAUCAAGUGCACUGUAAGUAGCUCUCAAGCUUGGAGCUCCAAGUGAUAUAUAGUGCGAAACCAUAGGUGGAUUUCCUCUUCUACAAUCCUCUUUCUCGUCUUCUUUCUGUGAAUUGCCAUUAUGUUCUUACUCCCAUUGCAUGAAAGGUUCCAAACACAAAGGUGGAAAAGUUAUGGAGGAAAGAUGUUCACAGAAAAACUUGCACCUGCAUCUAUUCCCCU